rnacentral:rRNA from 1 species
UACGUAGGGUGCGAGCGUUGUCCGGAAUUAUUGGGCGUAAAGGGCUCGUAGGCGGUUUGUCGCGUCGGGAGUGAAAUCCACUGGCUUAACUGGUGGCUUGCGGUCGAUACGGGCAGGCUCGAGUUCGGUAGGGGAGACUGGAAUUCCUGGUGUAGCGGUGAAAUGCGCAGAUAUCAGGAGGAACACCGGUGGCGAAGGCGGGUCUCUGGGCCGAUACUGACGUGAGGAGCGAAAGCAUGGGGAGCGAACAGG